AUUAACCUUGCCGGAAAUAUUUGGGAAUGAAAGGCAUGGGUAAACAUGGACACGGUACGUGUUUUGGCUGCGUUUUUUAAUUCAAACUUAAUUAUUUUGCCUCCAGAAUGGAUGGUUAUUCAGAGGGUAAUUUUUGUGGUCUGCGUUAAACAUUCAUGGGUCUGGACGCAAAAAACAUUUGUAAAGAGUAUCGUGCGUUGUGCAAGGUUUUCUAUUUUAGAUACGGGAGGGUAUUCAAAGCGUUCUUCGAAUCUGUUGUUGGGAUUAGUUAAUUCGAGUGCAUUUUAAUGGGUGCUCGUUCAUAGAGGAGACAAACAAGAUUUCGAUGGACGCUGACACAAUGCAAGAGAAGGUCUCUAAUUUACAGUAGAAGAUGAAGAGGCAAAGCAGAAGAUCAGGAAAAAUAGCAACUGAAUGAGGGCAAAAUUCUUCUUACAGGAAUCCUAGCACGACACUGAGAGCCACAAAAUCACAAUAUUGGAGAAGAACAAUGGAGGCUAUGAUUUUCAUCAACAAAAGGGGUUUUCGCAUGUGUAUGAAUAGUAUUUUUGAUACGGUCAUAUGGCAUUUUGCAUUUGUUAAGAUGGUGUUUCGCAUUUGUGCCUCAAGUGUUUCACAUUCAUCCAAGGUAAAAGCAUGGUAAGACAUUUAGGUUGUCUCUAUUAGUAACUACCUCAACUUUUUUAUUGUGAUUAGUUUUCGCAAUUCUGAAAAGUUAGUUGAUCGGUUACAAAUUUUAUUUAAAAUGCAUCUAACCCCAUGUCUCGUAAGAUAAAAAUUAAGAUUGCAGAUUCCAAACAACAUGCAGAACAUAGAAGACAACAAAGAUAUUUCUAGAAAACCUUGAGAGCAAAACAAAAACUAAUUGAACCAGAGUUGGAAAUCACUUAUUUUUAGUAUUAAAGACGUGUCCAAGCCUAUAUAUUGAAAUAUAGAAUGAUCGAGGGGAGUGGAUUAGCA